GCGGUGUGGCAGGGCGGGCCGUGCUCGGCGCGCCAUUGGCUGCCAUCCCGAUCCUUUGCAUACGGGGCGGGGUUGCGGGGCCCUGCCGGGGCCCGUCGGGGGUGCGAAGGUGGCCGCGGUUGCCGCAGAAGUUGGUCCGAGAACCCGCGACGGCCCGCGCCGGGGUCGCAGGGCCCUCAGGACCGCCUCCUCGAGGUCACCGCGCCCAGGGAAGCCUGUGGCAGGCACAGUGCUGGGCAUGAGCAGGAACGGUGAGAGCAGGACAGGCUCCAGCAUGGUCCACAGCACAGCCCGACCUCAUCCUCUUCCUGGACUGCCCAGUGGGGAGGCAGUGGCUACCGUGGGAUCCCUUCGCAGCAUUGCCUGGGAAGAUGACCUGCCCUGCAGGGCGCCGUGGGAUCUCAGCACCUCCACACUUCCCACAGCUCACACCAUUGUCUUCAAAGCAAAAUUUAAAACUCAAAAGUAAACUUUUCAGCAACUAGAAGGUUUGCUUAGUAAUCCAAAGCACUCUGGCAACUUUGGGGGGGCAUGGGACUCUUUCUACCUGGAACAACUGUGUCAGAAAAGAGCUCUCCCUGGCCCCACCUGGACACGGUGCCAUUGGGGAGUUUUUUCAGAGCCAGGAGCCCAUCAGGGCCCACACAGUGGCUUCAGAACAAACAGGUGGCCCUCAGGAGGACACAGGCAGUGUGUGUGCGGUGUGUGGCUUGGAAACACCGUAGCUUAGAGAUGGAGCACGUGGUGUGGAGCCCCUGGGUGGCACCUGCCAUGCCCCUGCUGGCCUGUGUCCUUAGCUGGCUCAGGGCUAGUGCCCAGAGGAGCAUCCAGACCUGCGUGUGGACAGGGACUAUGGUGAGGGAAGCAGUCCCCUCGGUCCCAGCCUUCCCACCCAGGGUGCACCCCUGCUGGCCUUUGUGCUUGAGGCUCCAUGCCAUGUGUGUCUGUGCCUGGCCCACCAGUCUGGGCCCAUGGGCCCAGCAGAUGUAGGCUGCAGCAGGCUUGGGGAGGAGGAGGUGCAGAUAGGAGCAGUCAGCGGGGCAUGCUGGCUGUGGACACCAGUUGGAAGCCUCCUGCUGCCCAGCCUCCCCCAUUUGCACCUCCCUGCCCCAGGCAGGAAAUAGCCAGUCCUGCUUGCUCCACAUAGCAGUGGGCUCCUAGUGGCCCUGGCCUUUGAGGAGCCUUCCCUGGCACCCAUGGGUGGCCUCCUUGCUCCUCCUACUCAGGACUUCCAUGUCCCCUGCCACCUACCCCAGAGGAAGUGGCCCACACCAGAACCAGCUCAGGAGUCCAUCUCAAAUAUCCCCUAUCCUUGAAUCUGGCAAAAGACCCCCUGAUCUAGGGCAGCGAUGAACCUUUUAGAGCUUUCAAUGAUAAACAGCUCACUGCAGCACACAUACCAUAGGUUCACCACCACUGAUCUAGGGUGACCCUAUCCCCUGUCCGCCAGUACCACCCAUGGCUGCACCAGGGCUGUCCCAGGUCAUGCUUAUCAUAAAGAUCUCUAACCCCAGCCAUCGGAGCUGGGAGUGUGCAGUCCACCUGAGGAUCUGGGUCCUGGGAGAGGCCAUAACCAACUCAAGGGCCAAGGCAGUCGCUAAGCUGGGCUAUGGAGUCUACCCUGCCCUGAUUUCAAAGUUGCUGCCUCCCAGCAAAGGCUUCAUAGGAACUUGGGGAGAAGGGAAACAGCCCUCUUCACACCAUGCC
ensembl:lncRNA